CUGGCGGCGUGCCUAAUACAUGCAAGUCGAACGGUCUUUCUAUGGAAGCUUGCUUCACUGAGAAGAUAGUGGCGGACGGGUGAGUAACACGUGGGUAACCUGCCCAUAAGAGGGGGGAUAACAUCCGGAAACGGGUGCUAAUACCGCAUAGUUUUCUUGAUCGCAUGAUCGGGAAAGGAAAGACGGCCUUUGUGCUGUCGCUUAUGGAUGGACCCGCGGCGUAUUAGUUAGUUGGUGAGGUAACGGCUCACCAAGACGAUGAUACGUAGCCGACCUGAGAGGGUGAUCGGCCACAUUGGGACUGAGACACGGCCCAAACUCCUACGGGAGGCAGCAGUAGGGAAUCUUCCGCAAUGGACGAAAGUCUGACGGAGCAACGCCGCGUGAGUGAAGAAAGGUUUUCGGAUCGUAAAACUCUGUUGUCAGAGAAGAACAAGUUGGAGAGUAACUGCUCCAGCCUUGACGGUAUCUGACCAGAAAGCCACGGCUAACUACGUGCCAGCCGCCGC
rnacentral:rRNA from 1 species